rnacentral:rRNA from 1 species
CCUAAAGAGUAACGGAGGCGCCCAAAGGUUCCCUCAGAAUGGAUGGAAAUCAUUCGCAGAGUGUAAAGGCACAAGGGAGCUUGACUGCGAGACUGACAAGUCGAGCAGGGACGAAAGUCGGGCUUAGUGAUCCGGUGGUUCCGCAUGGAAGGGCCAUCGCUCAACGGAUAAAAGCUACCCCGGGGAUAACAGGCUUAUCUCCCCCAAGAGUCCACAUCGACGGGGAGGUUUGGCACCUCGAUGUCGGCUCGUCAC